AUUGAACGCUGGCGGCAGGCUUAACACAUGCAAGUCGAGCGGAGAGAGGUAGCUUGCUACUGAUCUUAGCGGCGGACGGGUGAGUAAUGCUUAGGAAUCUGCCUAUUAGUGGGGGACAACAUUUCGAAAGGAAUGCUAAUACCGCAUACGUCCUAUGGGAGAAAGCAGGGGAUCUUCGGACCUUGCGCUAAUAGAUGAGCCUAAGUCGGAUUAGCUAGUUGGUGGGGUAAAGGCCUACCAAGGCGACGAUCCGUAACUGGUCUGAGAGGAUGAUCAGUCACACUGGAACUGAGACACGGUCCAGACUCCUACGGGAAGCAGCAGUGGGGAAUAUUGGACAGUGGGCGAAAGCCUGAUCCAGCCAUGCCGCGUGUGUGAAGAAGGUCUUCGGAUUGUAAAGCACUUUAAGUUGGGAGGAAGGGCAGUAAGUUAAUACCUUGCUGUUUUGACGUUACCAACAGAAUAAGCACCGGCUAACUUCGUGCCAGCCGCCGCCGUAAGAC
rnacentral:rRNA from 1 species